AACCCCCUCCUUAGUUGCUACCAUUUAGUUGAGCACUCUAAUGAGACUGCCGGUGAUAAGCCGCGAGGAAAGUGGGGAUGACGUCAAGUCCUCAUGGCCCUUACGGGCUGGGCUACACACGUGCUACAAUGGCGGUGACAAUGGGAUGCUAAGGGGCGACCCUUCGCAAAUCUCAAAAAGCCGUCUCAGUUCGGAUUGGGCUCUGCAACUCGAGCCCAUGAAGUUGGAAUCGCUAGUAAUCGUGGAUCAGCACGCCACGGUGAAUACGUUCCCGGGCCUUGUACACACCGCCCGUCACACCAUGGGAGUUGGUUUUACCUGAAGACGGUGCGCUAACCCGCAAGGGAGGCAGCCGGCCACGGUAGGGUC
rnacentral:rRNA from 1 species